UAGUGAUAAUGUCCAUAUAGGAGUAGCCUUGGUCUUUACGGAUCUGCUCAAGCUCUGGAUCUGAUUCAUAGAUAUCAGCAUUCAGCUGCAACAACAGGACGACUGUAAUCAGUGAUCAAACUCAUCUGUGGAAAGUAAUUCCACGGAGUUAAAUCUAUUUGGAGGGCCACCUGACUGCAGCCUGCUUCCUGUAUGCGGGGAUGACGGCGCGUGCUUCUGUCACGUGGCCCUGACCAAAUCACUAGUGAGGGUGUCGAGAAGACCACAUCUACCGGCGAUGAUGCAUCUUCCUCUAACCUUUACAGCAGAGAUCCUGCAAAAAAAUAUGAGAAAGAAAUACCUGCCUCCUGUGUUCUGUGACACCACGCAGACCACCUGACAAACCCUCAUACAAAAGGCAUACUGACUCAGACAACUUUGCUUCCCAAAAGGAUGACAGUGAACCCAACACCUCGGCCUCUGCAGGAAGGUGAGACGUCAUGAGGAUGUGUCAUAUCAGCUGGCACCACUUACUGGUUUACAUUCAUAAACAGAACCGUCUGUGAAAAUGGAACGCACACCACAGUAAAUAUAAUCCCAUUUUACUUGCAGGGCUAGAGGGAUUUAUUUGGUUAUUUGCCAGAAAGCACCUAAUGAAUGAUGUGAGUGUUCCUAUGAUCAUUUCUCACCCUAAAUUAGAAAUGCAUAAAGAAGAAGAGCAGAGAAGCAAGCCAUUUCAUUCAAGGGUUUUUCACUGCUGUAUUAGACUUGUAAAUCACCAUUAGGCUUUCAUUAAAGUGGACUAAUCAGGGCACUUUGUAUGAAAAAUAUAGACAGAAAUAAUGAAUCUACUUAACCCUUUGAUGCACAAGCUAUGCAAACUCCUUCUAAUGCAGAACAUGGGUCAAAAAGUACCCAUACUCAUUUCCUAUGUAAUUU